rfam:Peptoniphilus lacrimalis DNF00528 contig126, whole genome shotgun sequence.
CUCAAGGGAGUAGCUGGCGGUUAACCGCGAUAGUGUCGUCAUUACGAAUUAUUUCCGGCACUAUAUUAAACAGCGAGACUUGUUUUUUUAAAAAACAGGUCUCUUUUU